UCGGGCGGCUCGCUCACGUCGAUCGGGCGUCACUCAGCACGGCUCGGCUCGGACUCGAGCUUCCUCCACUCGGAUCCCUGAGAGAUGCGUCUCAGAUUGACGCGACACGACGAUCGGACGACCGCGGUGCGGCCAUCUUUAAAUCGAUCUUUUCGCGAGCGACAUUUCUUAUCGCGCAGCAGUAGACUCUGAUAGUCCGACUAAAUAGAUGCGUUCGAAAAUUCUAUCUGUAGAAUUAAUACAAUUAGAUUGACCAAUCAGGAGGAAAGGAGCGGAAAUUUCUUUGCUUCUGAUUGGUCAACGAAAGGCUUUUUUAUUAUAAGGUUGUUUGCACGUCAGAUUUUCGAACGCAUCCUAACCAAAGGCGACUCAUUCCCCUCGAUAGCCGCGCGCGCAUAUCGCAUAUCGAUAUCGACGAGAUGAUGCUUGAAACACUCACGUUGAGGAAAAGAAUGCGUGAAUUGGAUAGAUUAAGAUAAAUCAACACUCGGUUCUGUACGUGUCAUUAAAAAAAAAUUGCAACCAGCCAGGUGACAUCAAUUAUGAAAUAUACACACAUAUAUAUGAAUACACACAUGUGUUUCCAGUUAUGUAAUCAUGAAAAAUUAUUAUUCACAUUAAAGGUAUUAUAUAGGA